GCGGCGGGCAGGGCGUGUCACCUGCUCUGCCCAGGCCCUGGCCACCCGGCCUCGCGAGCGCCAGCCCCCCAAUCUGCCUCCACCUGGAAAGCCCUGGCCGUCAUCGCCCCGAGCCCCGUGCCCCCCCAAAGCGGCCACCGCGCGCCCUUGAAGGGCAGCGGCGGCUCUAGAACCUUCGGGGCACGGUUGAUGGACGCCAAGGAAGGCAGGGCCCCUCAGAGGGGAUGGACUUCAGCUUCCCUCCCUGCCCUGAGCAGAGCUCCCGGCAGCCGAAGAUCACCAGAACCUAGCUACAGCUAUGCUCAAGGCCCCUCUCCACACGUUCGGACAAGCCUCACACAUGAAAGUACAGGCAGAGGAACCCAGGCUCUUUAGGUCACACCAAGCAAUGCUCAGGGGUUACUCCUGGCUCUCCACUCAGGAAUUACUCCUGGCAGUGCUCAGGGGACCCUAUGGGACGCCGAGGAUCCAACCCGGGUCGACUGCGUGCAAGGCAGAUGCCCUACCCACUGUACUAUCGCUCCAGCCCCGAAUGGGUGAAUUUUAAAUUGCUGGCAAUUAUGAGGCCUCACGGUGAGGUCUGCAUCUGUCUCUAGGCACAGGCCUCCUGAGGGACCCGCAACCCCGCACUGGCCUCUGCAGCAGUGGAUCAAGUCUCAGGCAGGGGCUAAGUGCUCUGAAGGUUGAUUUCGCUCUUGACCAGGUUAGAAAGCCAGAUGAGUGUUCUGAUCCGCAGGUGGCCUGUCUAAGGCUAUUGUGCGCCCAGCCCUUACCUGUUUUGAACAAAGUGCUGCUUUUCCUUCCCUAACUGCGUGGGGCAGCUGUGCGGAGAGGAAUUGCAUUCAAACAAUGGGGCCCAGUAUGAGCCAGAACAAGGACGCUUGCCACGUGUACAUUGGAGAUGCUGAGCCUCUGCGGUGCAGCCAGGAAACCCCCUACCUGACUAACCUCUGACAGCGCCGCCUUGUGGGGGACGAGAGGGUCACUCGAUACCGCCCAGCUCCUGAGACUGAGCCUCUCGCUCCAGAUUCAGCCCAAGGAUGGGCGCCCAGAGGAGGGGACGCAGGGGGAGGUGGGGAGAAGGUGUCUCUGGAAUCCUCGCUCAGAGCAAUCACGGCCCUAUUGAUUAUCAAGGGACCAGGUGGAAGAAUAUUCCAGGAAACUUAGACAAACGCGAGAGCAUGUGGAGUUUUCAUCUAGCCAAGCCCUCCCUGGGCAUUUUGUUCCCCCUCCCACCCUGCCUGGUCUGUG